rnacentral:rRNA from 1 species
UACGUAGGGUGCGAGCGUUGUCCGGAAUUAUUGGGCGUAAAGAGCUUGUAGGUGGUUUGUCGCGUUGUCCGUGAAAACUCACAACUCAAUUGUGGGCGUGCGGGCGAUACGGGCAGACUGGAGUACUGCAGGGGAGACUGGAAUUCCUGGUGUAGCGGUGGAAUGCGCAGAUAUCAGGAGGAACACCGGUGGCGAAGGCGGGUCUCUGGGCAGUAACUGACGCUGAGGAGCGAAAGCGUGGGGAGCGAACAGG